UGCCUCUGACUUGUCACUGUCCAUCCUUACCUACAGGAAGUGGUGCAAUCCUCCAGGCUGCAGAAACAGCAAUCAGCCCCGGGCAGAGAUCUGGCACUGCCCCGGGAAGCCGAGCACCCUGACAUCUGCCCCAAACAGGGGCCAGUCCUUAAAAAGAGGAAUUAUGAGGAGGAGGACACACAGAAGGAGGAGGUGGAUGGACCAAUGGAAGAGGAGGAAGAGCAGGAGAAUCAGGAGGAAGAGGAGAAG
rnacentral:lncRNA from 1 species